GACGUACCACCCAAGCGUUAUUCGGAAUCACUGGGCUUAAAGGGUCCGUAGGCGGCGAAGAAAGUUGGGUGUGAAAUACCUCAGCUCAACUGAGGAAUUGCGCUCAAAACUACUUUGCUCGAGAAAGACAGAGGUGAGCGGAACUGAUGGUGGAGCGGUGAAAUGCAUUGAUAUCAUCAGGAACACCGGUGGCGAAAGCGGCUCACUGGGUCUUUUCUGACGCUGAUGGACGAAAGCUAGGGGAGCGAACGGG
rnacentral:rRNA from 1 species